UUUUGGUGGCCCUCACAUUUUCCUUUAUACUCAUCUCUAAAUAUAUAAACGACACGUGCUGCUGCAACUCUCAUCCUCAUCAGUGAUUUCCCGGUGAAAUUGAGGAAAUCAGUCUACCUCUAAAUCAGUCAGCAGGCAAUCGAGUCACGUUUUUGCUCUGGUGUGAACUAUGACGUAUCAUUGUCUUACUUGAAAAUUUUCUGGAAGACUCAUUGCUGAAACUGAGGCAAAUGACAAGGUUGUUCUGAAUAAUCUGCGACGUAAGUAUACUUUUUUGUUCAACUGUUUCGUGCAUGUUUACAAUAGGCCUACUUUCCAUGAUAGUCAUCAGUAGUGCAAUGUUUGUAACAAAUGACGUUUACUUUGUCCAACUGGUAAUGCAUCUGCAAAGAUAUAUAAAUAAAGUAUUAAUUGAGUUAUUGUAAUAGCUUUUGGAUGAGUUUCUUUUUCCCUCAUACAAUUUUUCGAUGCACUUUUUGUUAUUACUGGUGUGCCUGAUGAUUACUAUGAGACUAAUAUCUUUAUAAUGUUCAAAAAGUUUUAGCUGGAGGACAAUCUUUUUUAGGCAUUCUGUUUGGUGGGAAAACUACAAACUGCACUUGUUAACUGUAAAGCAUCUAUUCAGGUUAGUAUUCUGCAGUACGGAACAAAAUUCUCUCUUAAGAUUUGUGAUGCUUAGUUUCACUUUCGUAGCAAAAACGCUUAGUUAUGGAAUUGUUAGCGAGUUUUCCUUAAACCAGUAAGUUCUAGCUGGUGAAAUUACUCUUCCUUUCCAAUCGUUUACUACUGCUUUGGUUUAUUGCAUUAAGCAUUUUGGUGCCAUUACAUACUUUGGUGUUGUGUUCUAAAAUCUAUGAACUGCUGGAAAAAUUUCGACAUCAUCACUGCACAGGUAACCUAUAUUGAAUUGGUUACUUUACUUGCAACAUUUUCCUUCUGACGAAAUUUGCACAUUCAAUUAUUAAACAACUGAUUUAUCAUUUUCCUUGUAGAUUUCUGAAAGAAUGAGCAUUGAAUCUAACCAUAAGCUAAAUUACAGUUCCCUACACGGCACAACCAUUGUAGAACAAGCUAUAUUGCCAUAACAAAGACUUACACGUUAAACCGCUUGUUCAGCAAUGGUUCUGCUAUCAAGAAAACUUUGGUUCAUGCUGGCUCAACAUUUUCUUUUGCUUAUUGAGCCAGCUCCACUACUCCAUGUCAGGGAGUAAACACAGAGUAAUAAUGUAUGAUCCUUGCACCAUAUUAGUCAUCAUUAUAAGCUAGAAAGGAGGCUCCUUAUUCUCCACUUCAUCAAUGAAAUUAUCCAAGAAGCUCAGAUGAUGAGGGUGAAGAAGAAGAAUCCGAAAAGUCAAAAUAUGAGGUACAUGACGAAAAUACGGAGGACAGUGGGCAGGUAUUAAUAGUUUUUGCAAUUCUACAGUUUUUUAUUGACUCGAUGCUUGUGAGUACAUCUAAUAGGUCUAAGUUUGUGUUGACUAGCCAAUUACGGGUUACAGUUCCCCCUUCUUGGAUAGUGGUAAAACAAUAGUGUUAGAGAAUUGCUCUUUCUUCUACCUUGUGCAGAUCAAUCGAGACAUGCUCAGCUCGAUCAAUACUUUCGCCACACUUAUCUGCUGUUGGAAACUGAAAUUUAAAAUGCAAAGGACAAACAAGUUUCUCCACUUCACUUUUGAGCAAAACAUAUUGUAACAACAUUUACAGAUUUAUCUAUAAUCUAUAAUGUAUAAUAAACAAUAACUUUGUUCAUGACAUUAAUAAAACAAGUUAACUUCGUUCAUGUUGGGCCCGGGCUAUCCUUACUAGUAUACACAUAAGUUGCCAUCAGUUCUUAGAUCACAAGGAUUUCUAACAGCAUGAAGGAUUUGUUAGAGUUUGCCCUGAAUUUCUUAUCUUAUUUGAAUUUUACCAUAAUUGUGUUUUACUUCAAAAAGAAUUUCUGGUUAGAAAAAAUUUUCUUUGUGGAAAAGGACUCUACCAUAUUUAUCCCUUUUCUUGAAGGAGAUGUUUUAGACUUUUAUAAAUAGAAAAUCUUUCUUUUCAUACAAUAACACAAUAGCAUUCACAAUGUAGUCGUUUAGAGAGUUUUGUUUAGGGGAAGAUUUUUCUCUCAACAGUUUUUAAGCUUUUAUAUUAAUUUUUCAUAUAUAGAUCAAUUGAUCAAACCAUAUAAUUAGAAUAUUAUGCCUUUUUUAGCAUAUUUUUCUUUGUGUCUGAUUUAUUAUAGUUUAAGGUUUGAAAUUAUUAGCUUCCGCAUGACGCGCUG